CUUGAACGCUGGCGGCAGGCCUAACACAUGCAAGUCGAGCGGAGCGGCGAACGGGUGAGUAAUGCCUAGGAAACUGCCUGGUAGUGGGGGAUAACGUCCGGAAACGGGCGCUAAUACCGCAUAAUAUCAGAUGAGCCUAGGUCGGAGUAGCUAGUUGGUGGGGUAAAGGCCUACCAAGGCGACGAUCCGUACCUGGUCUGAGAGGAUGAUCAGGCACACUGGAACUGAGACACGGUCCAGACUCCUACGGGAGGCAGCAGUGGGGAAUAUUGGACAAUGGGCGAAAGUCUGAGCCAGCCAUGCCGCGUGUGUUAAGAAGGUCUUCGGAUUGUAAAGCACUUUAAGUUGGGAGGCGGUACCAACAGAAUAAGCACCGGCUAACUUCGUGCCAGCAGCCGCGGUAAUUC
rnacentral:rRNA from 1 species